UACGUAGGGUGCGAGCGUUAAUCGGAAUUACUGGGCGUAAAGCGUGCGCAGGCGGCUUUGUAAGUCUGUCGUGAAAUCCCCGGGCUUAACCUGGGAAUGGCGAUGGAGACUGCAAGGCUAGAGUUUGGCAGAGGGGGGUAGAAUUCCACGUGUAGCAGUGAAAUGCGUAGAGAUGUGGAGGAACACCGAUGGCGAAGGCAGCCCCCUGGGUCAAAACUGACGCUCAUGCACGAAAGCGUGGGGAGCAAACAGG
rnacentral:rRNA from 1 species